rnacentral:rRNA from 1 species
GCACUCCCGGGGCGUCUCUAUCUCAUCGCGAGAGGAGGCGCACCUAGAGCGUACACGCUGAUACCCGAAAGAUGGUGAACUAUGCCUGGCCAGGACGAAGCCAGGGGAAACCCUGGUGGAGGUCCGUAGCGAUUCUGACGUGCAAAUCGAUCGUCGGAGCUGGGUUUAGGGGCGAAAGACCAAUCGAACCAUCUAGUAGCUGGUUCCCUCUGAAGUUUCCCUCAGGAUAGCUUGCGCUCGGAAACAACGAGUCUCAUCCGGUAGAGCGAAUGAUUAGAGGCCUUGGGGUCGAAACGACCUCAACCUAUUCUCAAACUCCAAAUAGAUGAGAACCCCGGCUUUCUUAAAACCUUUUUUAUGAAGCCGGGGGCUCGGAUCAGAGUGCCAAGUGGGCCAAUUUUGGUAAGCCGAACGGGCGCUGUGGGAUCAACCAAACGCGGGGUUAAGGCGCCUCAAUCGACGCUCAUGUGAAACCAUAAAGGCGUUGGUGCAAAGGACAGCAU